rnacentral:lncRNA from 1 species
AUUCAACUUCAAUACGCUGUUGGAAAGCCAUGCUCUUAAAGGUUAUGCUAGUGGAGCAAACGUCCAACACCUUCACGGUAAUGUUUGUCCAAAGAUUAAUCUAAUCCAAGAAUAGUUAUCAUGAUCUGGAUCAUAUGUUCAAAGUUCCUAAACGUGGGACUUUCUCUUUUUAACUUGACUUUCUUGUGCUUUUUCACUGUUGUUUUUGCAGGCAAGUUUGGUUGCACUCCUAUAUCUGGGUUGUUUCAGUUUUGUGCUUCUCUUCAUAUAUGGGUUUGAUUAUUUCCCUAAGUUUUUAUAUUUCUAAAAACAAAAUCUAAAAUCCUAAUUUGUGAGUUUUUCUUUCUUUCUUUCCAUUAAUAGGAGUUGGACUUGGUUUUUUUAUUGCAUUUCAGUUUUUAAUGAAUCAAUUGUUUAGUAAGUAGCUGGAAUUUAGGAGAGAUUGAUGGAGUUCGUUUUAGCACCUUCUCUGAAUGGAUAGGUAAGGAUUCUGUUCUUGAAAAAGUAAAUCACGAGUCCUUGUUUGGUUUCUCUCAAUACCCUGUUUCAUGGCUCUUGUUUCAUGGGCACUUUCUCAAAGCUGUUCAACUGUCAGUUAAAUUUGAGUCAAAUUAUAAUUCAAAAAUCAUUCAUUUUAGUUUAGUGAGUUAUUUUUUUUUAACAAUUACUCUAUCAGCCUCUCUAUUAUAAUUUUAUUCCAUUAAAAUAUUAAUUAUUUACUAUUUUUUUUCAAAGGUCAUAUUUUUUAAAUGAUCACAUUAUUUCCAUGGUAAUACUUUUAAAAAGUAUAUUUUUAAAAUAGUUAUAUCGUUCAUAUUUAAAAAAUAUACUUUUAAAAAGUAUAUUUUUUUUUCAAAAAUCAUUCAUGUUAUUUUUUUAUAAAAUAUAUCAUAUAGUUAUGUUUUUAUCUGAACUUAUAACAAGAUGCUACGGUUGGACUCGUCAUUGAACGAUUUGUGAUUACAAUUAAACUGAAAAAAUACAAAACUUUCUAUUUUAGUAAAAGUUUAAAGGUGAAGAUGUAAUUUAUGGAAAGAGAUUUAACCGCAAUAAAAGGCUAUUUUGAUGUAGUCUAUUUGAAGGUUUUUGCUAACCAAAACCCACGUUUGACCCACUUGAUGCGGAUGCUCCAAGAGCGUCUGUCUAUGCACAAACAUGUCCUUUUCAGUUUGAUGCCCCAUACAAAGCUAAAAUUGGAGGCAUCUCAAAAAGAAAGUAGUCCUUAUUCAGUGUUCAAAAACAGAAUAUUCUCUAUCAAAUGUGCUCAUCCAAUUCACGUCUAUCUACCUUGGGUUGCAUUUCAUUUAAAUUACCAAUUAUAAGUGUGAAUGUGUUCACUUACUUUCAUAGGGGUAAAUAAAAUCAGCUAUUUGACCUCAUCUCGUGGUGAACUGUAAAUUCUGAGGAUUUGUUCUAAAAGAGGGCCAUCUUUUUGUGGCUUUGUGUGGAUGGAUGAUGACGGAAGACUUAAAAUGAAAGAAUUACAUAUUGUAUGGCAUGUUUUUGGAACUUUGGACAAGUGUUUUCUAUCAAAAUGGAACAAUGAAGGAUAUGUUCGUCAAUAUUGUUCGUUGUAUGUGCCAUGUGCUUGUCACAUGACAAUUUUCAUUUAUAAGUAGAACCCUUGGGUGUUAAUUGCCUAUACUCAAAUGGAUGAACGGGCGUAAGCGUAUGGAGUUCAAACAUUAGGGGUAAUUCAGGAACAUGUCAGAGUUAAAAGGCGUUUACUGUAAUUUUACCGAGUAGUACCUCUUUGUGGUUUGGCCUUAAUAGUUAAUACAAAAUUACAAAUAUCCGGCCUAUUGGAAAUUACGUUGACCACCUUGUCAAGGUUUUCUUUAACUUUAAGAGUUAAUAGAAAUAUAAAUGAAUAUAUUACCCUUACAAGUUAAAAUGAAACUACUUUUAUCGUUCGCUUUGGGGUUGUUUGCAAUUGAUUUAAAAGUUAACUUUCUGUUUUUGCUCUAAAUUUUGGUUCUUACGCAGAAAUUAUUAAAGUGUUUGUAAUUUCUGUGAUAUUAUGAAUUUAAGCAGCUGAAUUGCUAGAUUGUGUUUUUUGAAAAAGUUUUAAGAGAAAGUAUGGGAUUAUUUUGUUUUUGCGAUACUUGUAUGGAACUCCAUGUUUUGGUGGGGGGGUGUUUCGUGGGGUGGGGGGGGGGGGGGGUGGCGAGGCCCUUUGGAUCUUUAGUUUUUAUGAAUGUCUCUUUUAGGGAUAUAAGAGGUAAGAAGAUUACAGAGAAACAUACGGGCUAAAAUGGACAUUUUGAAAGGUUUAGUGGAUGGCAUCAACAAGAACCGUUAGUCAACUGAUAGUGGCUGUGUAAUGCGGCAAUAAAUCCCAAGAGGGUGUAAUUUCUGAUACUUCAAGGGUAGUAGGGUAUUUGGACCAAACCAAAGGGGAGAUCAGUAUAUUUUACCCAUUUAAAAAGACUUUAGAAUGCAUGCCCAAUUAGGUCCAUAAUCCAACUCGUUGCCGUUUUCAACGCCACUCAAAAUCCCAUCAAACCAAAUGCUUUCCCCACACAAUCCCAUCCCCUCUCUCUCUCUCUCUCUCUCUCUCUCUCUCUAUAUAUAUAUAUAUAUAUAUAUAUAUAUAUAUAUAUAUCUCGAAACGCUGAAGGGCUGAACUGAAAGAAACCAGCAGAAUAUUAUAGAGAGAGAAGAAGGGAUGGCUUCCUUCUGCCAAACCUCUCUUGCCCACUCUCAUCCUUCACUCCAAACACAAACCAUAAUCCAGCAACCUUUCUCUCUCAUCCUACCAGACCCAUCGUUCCUCUCUCUGCCCUCCCCCAAGCUCGACCUCCCCUCCAAUAGGAAUUACCCAUUUCCAUACUUCUAAGGACCAAAACCAGCAGCAGCAGAGGAACAACUU